ACGGCGAGUGAAGCGGCAAAAGCUCAAAUUUGAAAUCUGGUACCUUCGGUGCCCGAGUUGUAAUUUGGAGAGGGCAACUUUGGGGCCGUUCCUUGUCUAUGUUCCUUGGAACAGGACGUCAUAGAGGGUGAGAAUCCCGUGUGGCGAGGAGUGCGGUUCUUUGUAAAGUGCCUUCGAAGAGUCGAGUUGUUUGGGAAUGCAGCUCUAAGUGGGUGGUAAAUUCCAUCUAAAGCUAAAUAUUGGCGAGAGACCGAUAGCGAACAAGUACAGUGAUGGAAAGAUGAAAAGAACUUUGAAAAGAGAGUGAAAAAGUACGUGAAAUUGUUGAAAGGGAAGGGCAUUUGAUCAGACAUGGUGUUUUGUGCCCUCUGCUCCUUGUGGGUAGGGGAAUCUCGCAUUUCACUGGGCCAGCAUCAGUUUUGGUGGCAGGAUAAAUCCAUAGGAAUGUAGCUUGCCUCGGUAAGUAUUAUAGCCUGUGGGAAUACUGCCAGCUGGGACUGAGGACUGCGACGUAAGUCAAGGAUGCUGGCAUAAUGGUUAUAUGCCGCCCGUCUUGAAACACGGACCAAGGAGUCUAACGUCUAUGCGAGUGUUUGGGUGUAAAACCCAUACGCGUAAUGAAAGUGAACGUAGGUUGGGGCCUCGCAAGAGGUGCACAAUCGACCGAUCCUGAUGUCUUCGGAUGGAUUUGAGUAAGAGCAUAGCUGUUGGGACCCGAAAGAUGGU
rnacentral:rRNA from 1 species